UACGAAGGGGCUAGCGUUGCUCGGAAUCACUGGGCGUAAAGCGCACGUAGGCGGUAUCCUUAAGUCGGGGGUGAAAAUCCCUGGGAGCUCAACUCCAGAACUGCCUUCGAUACUGAGGAUCUCGAGUCCGGGAGAGGUGAGUGGGAACUGCGAGUGUAGAGGUGAAAUUCGUAGAUAUUCGCAAGAACACCAGUGGCGGAAGGCGGCUCACUGGCCCGACUACAUGACGCUGAGGACGAAAGCGUGGGGGAGCAAACGGGAUUA
rnacentral:rRNA from 1 species